CCUCUCCAGGAGGGCUGCCUUGCGUGGGAGGAAGGGACCGAGGGAGAGCCUGUGACCAUCGGGCAUGUGGAAUCCCUCUGUUUGUAGCUAGAUUUAUAGAUGUUUAUAGUUAUGUUUAUAUAUCCAUAUAGUUAUUUAUAGUAUUUAUACUCUACUUAUUAGUUACAUAUAGUAUUUAUAGAUUUAUACAGUUGUGUUUAUAGGUGCAUGUAUUUAUAGAUCUGUGUAAAUUUAUAUAGUUAUACAUAUGAUAUAAUUAUAUUUAUACAUAGGCAGUUACAGUUAUAGAUUUGCAGUUAUAGUUAUAUAUGUGUAGAGAAAAAUUUAUAUAUAUAUAAGUUGUAUUUAUAAAUGUACAUAGUUAUAUAGUUAGAGAUAUUUGGGUGUUUAGAUACAUAGAUUGAUGUUUAUAUAGGCCUAGGCUGGAUUCUAAGCUCCUUCUGCCCUCAGCCACCUUUUUAAUCUCUUGUUUUUCCCCCUGUGCCCCCUCUGUCCCCUCCUCCUGUGCUGGCUCCAAGCUGGCGGCCGGGCCGGGCGGAGCAGCAGCUGCAGCCCCGGUGUCCCUGGAGCGGUGGGAGCUGCCGGUGGCCGCAGGCCCUGUGCCCUGAGGAGCUGCUGGAGGACGCUGCCCUGAAGACCUUGAGAAGAGCGGAAGAGUGACGAGAACCAGCAGGGAGAAGCGGAAGGCCACAGCAAGAGCAGCGAAUACGGACCUGCUGCUGCCGCCCGAGACCCUGGGUGUCCCAUCUGCUGUCCCCGUCCAGGAGAGCUGCUCUGCACGGGAGGAAGAGACCGAGGGAGAGGCUUUGAUGAUGGGGCGGCUGGAAUCCCUCUUCUUGUAUCUCUGUUUAAAGAUGUAUGGACUUGCUCAUAAGAUAGUGACCAUUACAUGGAUAUUUAUAUGUAGGUUGCUAUUUGUAUAGGUAUAUUUGUAUAUGUAUGUUGUUAUAUU